AUAAACUACUCCAUCACGACUUCUCACGUAGCACUCUCGUGUCGUAGUAACCAAUGCCACCGCUAGAGCGCUCAACCGAUCGCUUAUUGUUAUGAUCUGCACACACCGGGGCAAUAAAUACCAACUAUGCUCUGUGUUGUACAUUGCUCUGCAUUGAAUGCUUCAAUUUAAAUAAAAAUAAACUAACUCAAAAAGUAGCUAUUUUAAAAAGGAAAGGAGAAAUGUUUUUAUUAGGUUUAUUGUCAAAAGAUUACGGUCUUUACACCACGACGUUUGAAAGCUAACAAUUAUCUUGUUGCUCUAUAUAAAAGCUGAUGUAGGGACAACAGAAUGAUAGACUUAAUUAUCUUCAAUUAUCUUACAUGCUAAAGCUUACAUCAACUUUGUUUUAGUCUGUUAAACGGUGAAUCAAAUGUAUUAUAAGAAAAUAAUAUUUUCACUCAUUGUUA
rnacentral:lncRNA from 1 species